GGACUAUAAAUAUAUUAAGUCAUUAGGUCUGCCUAUACCUUCAACUACAAACUAUCGAUCUUCUUAUAAAGGCUAUUUGUCUCAAAGCAAGGAAAUAGUCGUGGAAUUUCCUCUCAAGUGCCGAAGAGUUUAUGAAUUUACCAAAAGCUGAAAACAGAGGAAACUUACAACUUGACUCAAAGUAACUGUUGCAGCUUAUAAGUUUCGGGGAGAUUCGCGGUUAUAGAAGGCGCACAAAGGAUUGUUUCAAGGUUUUUAAUCGGCUCUACAGAGUGAUGUUUUUAUGCGGGUAGCGAAUGACUGGUGGUCCGCUACUUGGAUGAUAUAAUCCUCCCAGUAUUUCCCGUUAUAUUAUAUUAUUCAAAACAGAAAUUUCA